UACGGAGGUGGCAAGCGUUGUUCGGAAUUACUGGGCGUAAAGGGCGCGUAGGCGGUUUGGCAAGUCAGAUGUGAAAUCCCCGGGCUUAACUCGGGAAUUGCAUCUGAAACUGCUUUUCCUGAGUCCCGGAGGGGGUAGUGGAAUUCCCAGUGUAGCGGUGAAAUGCGUAGAUAUUGGGAGGAACACCUGUGGCGAAGGCGGCUACCUGGACAGUGACUGACGCUGAGGCGCGAAAGCUAGGGGAG
rnacentral:rRNA from 1 species